CAGUAGUCAGUGACUGGCUUUAAAGGGACCAUUUCACAGAUUUUGGCAUGUUUUUAAGUUUUUCAUUUAAUGCUUUGUAUUGAUAAGCGUAAACAUUAGAUCUAAAAAGCUCCAGAAUAAACAAGAAUAAAAUUAAAGAAAUAAAAAAAGUCACCCUCAACUGGGCUCAAAUAAAUAUGACUACAAUAAAAAUUUGCGAAUCUCGUGUAUCAAAUCAAUUUACCAAAACGUGAAAAGGUCCCUUUAACCUUUUCUGCUGCCUUAGCACAAUUUGGUCAUGGAGUAUUUAUGGUUGUCUUUUUCCAUUGUGCGUCGUCAUGCCUUGUUAGCAUUUGACUUGUUAACACUCAAAAGGCCACAUUUUAUGAUUUAUUGUUCAAUCUUCAUGAAACUUGGUCAGAACAUUUGUCCUAAUAACAUUUUGACGAAACUGGGUUAUGUAAGGUAAAAACCUUGGUUCUUAGGUCAAUGAGAGAAAAAGCUUGUGAUCACUCUAGAAGUCACAUUUUUAGACAAAUCAACAUGAAACUUGGUCAGAACAUUAUUCUAAUGAUAGCUCAGUUAAAAAAUGGUUGUGGUUUUGCCACAGGGGGUGGGGGGCAGUUUUCCUUAUAUGGCUUUUGAGCAACCUUGUUAACACUCUAGAGGUCACAUGUUUAUCAAUUUCUUUAUUAUACUUGGUCUGAACAUUAUUUUUUAUGAUAUCUCGGCUGAGUAAACAUGGACCUCAUGGCUGUACUGAAACAGUUUGAACACUCUAAAAGUGAAAUUUAUUGUCUAAUAUUAACCAAACUUGCUCAGAAAAUAUUGACUGCUCACAACAGUUCUACUUCUUCAGGUUAUUGACACUAUCUUUUCAAGAUUUCUGCCUCAUUGAAGUAAUUGAAAAUGUCCGCACUUGAAUGCAGUGGUAAGGAAGUAUACUAUAGCGUCCCAUAAUCACUGUCCGUAAUCUUACUUCAUUCUUCAAAUGUACAUUUUGUAGAUUGUAAUUGGGUGUUUGCUAUAUCACAAUAAAAGAAAAUACCCUUUAAGUGGGAAAUAACAGCUUGUGGUAAUGAGACUUUGAAAUCAACCUAUGAGGGGGAUAUCCUGAGUGGUUCAAGAAUAACCAUCAAAAUUUGAUAUGAGCUGUGGUCUGGGACAAGGGGGCUUAAUGCAUGUUUAAAGUGUUGUCCAAGCCUAUUAAGUCCGCAGAGUCUAAUCAGGGACGACACUUUCCGCCUAAACUUGAUUUUCAUUUUAAUAGAAGAGGCAUUCUUAAAACAAAACAUUCCAUUAAAGGGGAAAAUGUUAUGCCUCAUUAGCCUUAUCUGGGGCGACACUUCACACACAUGCUGCAUAGUGUUUUUUUCUCACCAUUUUGGGAAUGGGGCCGGGUCCCUUUGGAUUGGGAAAAUUUGCAGCAUUGUGACCAAAGUUAGACAAUUAGUGUUGUUGUUUUAUUGCUAACAAAUGCUUCAAAAAAUGAGAAUUAAAAUGUUUUAAAUACAUGUAUUAAAUUUAAUAAAGUGUAACUUGGAGAGCUGGAUGAGAGGUUAACUAAAUGUUGAUCUUAAUUUAUUUUUUUUAAACCCUCAAUUGGGAAUUAUAAGGUUCCAUUUGGGAAAAAUAUAUACCUUUUUCGAUUGGGAAUGAGGCUGGAUACAAAAAAACAACACUGAUGCAUCAAGCCAAUUUACCCAGAGUGAGGCUUAUAUAAGUUGUUGUUUUAACUUGGAAAUAAGGUCCAGCCUGUGGUUUGUUUGCUUGGAAAUAAGGUCCAGCCCGUGGUUUGUUUGCUUGGAAAUAAGGUCCAGCCCGUGGUUUGUUUGCUUGGAAAUAAGGUCCAGUCCGUGGUUUGUUUGCUUGGAAAUAAGGUCCAGCCCGUGGUUUGUUUGCUUGGAAAUAAGGUCCAGCCCGUGGUUUGUUUGCUUGGAAAUAAGGUCCAGCCCGUGGUUUGUUUGCUUGGAAAUAAGGUCCAGCCCGUGGUUUGUUUGCUUGGAAAUAAGGUCCAGCCCGUGGUUUGUUUGCUUGGAAAUAAGGUCCAGCCUGUGGUUUGUUUGCUUGGAAAUCGACGUAUAAGGGUAAUAGCCCGAGUGGUUUGAAAACAACCAUCAAAAUUACAUGUAUAAUUAGUGUUGAUGUUCUUCUGUGUGUUCCAGCUCGAC